UUUGAAUCAUAGAUUUAGAAAACAAGAAGCCAAGUUUUUUCUUGUAUCUUUAUGAAAAAGAAUAGCACGCAAUGCCGGCACCGGAGUCUUACCCAGUUGACGGGAGUUCAAAGGGAGACAGCAUCGGCUGUGGAUGGGGGAGGGCAAGCCAGGAAGAGGGGCAGGAUCUGCCUAAGCUCCUGCCUGGAGUGGGUACCCUGUAAGCUGCCGCGUGGUAUGGACACAUGAGGGGCACAGAGCAGGGGCAGUCAGUGAGUGUCCCUGAGUUUUCUAAGGCAAAGCAGCAGCGGCAGAUGAUGGGACCUCCAUGGGGAAGGCCGCGAUGCCGAAGAAGGAGGGAGAGGCCUGCCCACGUGCCAUCCUGCCACAGGUCCUGCAUAGAUAACGAUAACCUGCAGGCUGAAGCUCAUGUUAGAGGUGGCAGAGCACUUUCAUAAGCUCUCAGUCCUGCUUAUGAUACACCAGGGGAUGUUGGCAGACAAUCCCAAGACCGCCAAGGGGUGCACUCAGGAGCUGACACCCAGAGCCUGUCGGGAAGAGGACCGCCAGCCUGAGCGCAUGGUCAGCCCUGUGAAGGCCACUAUUUCUACUGUACAGGGCUCUUGUGAGAUGUGCUGAGAUGAAAAGAUGAAGGAGAAAUGGCCCAGGUCUAUGAGGUUACCAUAUAUUCGGUGAAGAACAACAGAUGCAUAAAGAGAUGGUGCUAAUAAAAUGAGGAAGUAUAUGACA
rnacentral:lncRNA from 1 species